GAAUAUUAUUCGAAUACUUCUCAGAGAAUAUCGAAUAGUAUUUUUGCCAGAGAUGCACAUCCCUAGCACUCACAUUUGAAAAGGCACCAUCCAGGUGUUACUAUCACUGUUGCUGUGGGAAAAUAAACGAUCUGUGCAAACCCAGCUCACAACACUAUUUCAACAACCCCUGUCUGGGAAUUCAGAAAUGCAAAUGCCAUAAUUGAGUUUAUUGGUGUUUUCAUUGCUGCUGAUCUAUGGCCAUUCUCUGUAAAUAAUUAUUAUGAAGGUCAGUUAAAAUAACCACUUUCUCCAUGCUUUUAUUUUGAUAGUGUAUUUUGCCGUCAUGGGUCUUUUAUUUGGACGCAGGAAGUUUGAAUCUACCGUAGGUAACUUGAAGGAGAUCGCACGGAAAGGUUAUUACGUGUAAUUACGGAAGGAAUUCAGGCCACACACGGUUGCUCUGCAUAACAAUUUGUAGUAAUUAAUAAGUGCCUAGCUGGAAUGGGAACAAGCUCUUACGGUGUUUAUGAAGAAAGAUGUGAAGAAAGGAAUAUUUAUGCUCAAAACAAGGCUGACGGCUGAACGUAAAUAAAGACUUCUGAAACAUCUGCAAGCUUCACCAUUGUCCGGCUGGGGUUCGCUACAUUCUCCGUUGUUGACAAACUUUUAAAUUUUCCGCUUAACUAUGAACCGUACCUUACCGUACCAUACCGGGACUUAAAAACCGAGGUACGUACCGAACCGUGACUUUUGUGUACCGUUACACCCCUAAUAAAUACGGAUAGGAACUCUUUCGUCUGGUCCCGGAGGUCGUCGCCUCUGAGCUUACGAAUCCGGAGGUAUGGAGCAAUACCAACGGAAAUCGAGGCAGCAGUAUAGAUUCAGAAGUCCAACCAUUCGUGAAAAUAGAUUGAAUAGUAUUAAUAUCUGACAUUCAUAUAUAUUGUAUUUAAUGUUUUAUACAUUAUACUAUAUACCUGACCUUUUUAUUUUAUUGUUCACCUGCUUUGGCAAUUGUAACUGGUCAUUUAAAAAUGGCGCAAAAUUUUGAGGAGAGAAUCUGCGGGUUGGUGAGGGGUGUCACAUGCCACCGCAGCGUAGGCCUACACUUUUUGCACCUUUUUUUUCCCGAUUUCGGAUGACACAAAGCAAAAUCAUCUCCUCUACGGAUGCCAUGUUUGCAAUUGUCGAUGCCGGAAAUUUGCGACACGAGAGUCACUGCCCUUUAGAGUAUGUAUUGCAACAUCCCUAACAACGCUGAAACCGGAUGGAGGUAUAAAGGGUAGUACCGGGGACAACGUUUGGUACGGACAGACGGAUUUCGUCCGGAUCAGGAGGUAUGAAUCAGCCUUUACACGCUGCUCCGCGAUCAUGCUUCCCUCCUCUCUUCAUUACCAUUACUUUGAACUGUCGUCCAUGCUGGCGGUACAUUUUCACUGUUACUGCAGCGGUCCAAUGGAAUAAUGGCCAAGCUUUAUCCUGAUGUCUUUGUCUUUAUUACUGUCCUCGUAAACUGUUUGACGCCGUGAAAACUACAAAAGGACGAUAAACAAUGUUUAAAACCCACUCCUAACUACACAGAAAUUGACUUAAUCGUACAGCUGUAAAUAAACCAAUUACCGUGUGCGCCACUUUGACCAUGAACAGAAUUGUUGUAGCGGUAACAUACUUAUACUUUAUAGACAAAGCUUGUAAAAAGUAAAUCAAAUGUGUAUCAAUUUCAGAACUUUACUUUAACAAAUGUAUCACUUUUUUCAGUUAGAAUUGUAUUUAACAAAAAAGGUAACUGGCUUCAGUAACUAAAUGUGAAUACUUUUUCUGAGUCUUUCAUGAUAGAAUAUCAUUGGAUUUCAAAUGAUGGGACCAAAAAAAUGGAUGUAUCUAUCGAACUCUGAACUUCUGAUGGCCAAUCAGUACAAAUAUUGACAUGUUACCAACAGAAAAGCAUUUUGAAAUUAUCUGUGCAUUUACAACCUGUAGUUUCAAAUACUGAGAGAGGGGUUAAAAAACGACAACACACGCUAUUCAUGUUUUUGUUGAGACUGGAACAUUUUUUAUUACUGUAACUAUAUUGCUAUCUUAAUUGUUCUUGUAAUCAGACUAGUAUUACUUUUCAUACCAUGACAAGUUCCUGCAGUCUUCUUCUUAAUGUCACAUGAUGUUGCUGUGGUGUCAAGACAGCUGAUUGUAUACAGCAGGGGGUGCGGUCGUCCUGCCGGUACAAGUAGGAUGACCUGAAACCUGUAUAAAAUCAGCUGUCUUGACACCAAAGCAACAUCAUGUGACAUUUAGAAGAAGACUGCAGGAACAUUAACAAUCAAAACAUGUCAGGGUAUGAAAAGUAAUUCUAGUUGUAUAUUAUGUACACUAUCUAUUAUUAUCUACACUAGUAGUUAGUUUCGUCGUCUGAGACGUCUCGCUAGCCUUCGUGACACUCCUCUGGGAUCGAGCUCUUUCAACAACAACCGCACAUCCUCUUUCCUCACACGCAGUCCAUGCUCCCUGCUUUUAGCGUACAUCAAUCGGUACCCAUGAAGCUGUCCAGAGUACUGCAGUUGGUCGCUAAUAAAAUCCACCAGGACCGACAGGUCGGAGUACGCCUUCUCUGACCUGUCGACAUCUCACAUAAGUGAGAUGUCUCUCAGUUAUGUGGAAGGCGUGCCUAUUGGCAAGUAUUGAUUUGAUGUCCGAAUUUUUGAGGCCAAGCUCAAAAUAAACGAUGAUACAUCUCCCAAG